AUGUAAUAUGGAAACAUGUAGAACGAUUCAUUCGCUCCCAUAAAUAUAUCAUUUGGAAGUUGAAUAGCACCAUAUAGCUUGGUUUGCAAACCAAAGACAAAGUUUCUAUGUGUUAAACACCAAGCCAGUUCCCUCAACUCUUACAAAUCCUUCAAAACUUAGAAUUUACCUAUGCAAAAUUCUUAUAUAUUAUAAUCACAGAAACUUUGAUAGUAUAAACCAGCUUUUAUAUAAAGACGAGCUUCUCUAAAUAUGUCAGUGUAUAUGCAGCCAAUGGUAAAUAUUGCAGGGGCCAUUUCAAGCCCUAGAUAAACGAAAUAAGGGUUUGAUGUAUGUUCCAACUAUGUAAUAGAAUACAUGAUAGUGUUGGGAAAGCAUUAAGAGUCAGCUAACCAUUGCACUCUCAUCCUCGUUUCGUUCAAUACCAUACACAGGGUACAUUAAAGCCCACCUAGUCGACGUAUUCCAAUUACCCAGCUUAGUUACGACUUUCUCCCAAUUGUAUAAGAAUUUUAACAAGUGAUAAAGCUGAGACAUAACUCAUGCAUCGUAAACGAUACCUACCUUAAAUAAAGUUGUACUGCAACGUCAACAACUUCGUAAUCUUUCAAAUCUUUCUCGCUAUUGAUACUCUUUUACGUUAAACUGCAGUUCGAAGACGUUUAUGUGCUAUUCAGUGAUCAACGUUGGAAACCAAUUGACGAACUUUCUUUGUUGCGUCGCCAUUUAAAAUCCCCGGCAUUGACGUAUAUCUGACGUCAUGAGUUCGGGUGAGGCCUAAAGUAUCUGGGCGUAGGGUUACCUGUAAUAAAAUGCUAGACAAAGAACUGUUUUACUCGAGUAUUCGCGAAUUACACGGUUAGCUACAGCACAACAAUGAACCCGUAGGGAUUUUCGAUGGAUUGUAGUACUUUUUGAGUCUUCUGAAGGCUAAAAAGGUUUCAGUAUGGCCUCUGCUCUGCAGCAUAAGUAAUAAAAAUAACUCGCGAUUCUUCUUAAGGGAAAGUGUUACUACAAACUCGUGGAGUACUUAGAUUAAGGACUCUGAUAUUGAAUCUAUAAUGAGCCAUAUAACCAAAAAUGUCAUUGCUUUCUGUAAUUCCAUGCAUAUAUUGAGUUUAUCAGGACAUCGCCAUGCAUGGAGAGUGCACUAGAAAUUUCGAGAAUCAAGGUUGGCCGUGGUAGCGUAGAUACGGAAGGAAAACAGGAAAGGAUUGGCUUGCUCCGUUGUGGGAAAUGUAAUAAUACUAUAUGUUGCGUGUAAUAAGCCUAAUAUUGGCAAUAAACAACUACAUUUAGUCCAAAUUCAGAAAUGAGUCAACACAUCUCUUUGAAGUACUUCUCUUUGUAGCUAUGCAUGGCGAUAAAUUGUUUGGGGGGUAAUGUUCAGCUGCUUGACAGAGCUCUUUCAACUGAAAAUGAUAGACCAUGUGGGCAUGAAUGUUAUCUAUUUUUGUCCUUCACUAUAAAACGUAUAUGAGAACAGAAACCCAGCUCAUUUUUGACCAUGGGAAUGGCAAGUUGCAUGUGUUCAACUUUUCUUCAAUUUCCAACAAAAUUUCUGAUUUGUGUCACAAAGUGAUUGCAUAUGUUUCUUUCAUCUUUAUGAGGAUCGCAUGAAGUUGGAUCCCUGUAGCCUACUCGGACUGCGAGCAGCCUAGAUCCCUGUAGAGUAGAGUAUACAUCUGAUUAUAAUUCUACCGCAUGUAAGAAGGACUUUACCAAAC
rnacentral:lncRNA from 1 species